GAACGCAUAUUGCGCUCUUUGGUAUUCCGAAGAGCAUGCUUGUUUGAGUAUCAGUAAACACCUCAAAGCUUUUGGAUUUUUUAAUCGAAAAGCUUUGGACUUGAGCAAUCCCAACACCAUUCUUUUUAAGAUCGUUGGCGGUUUCCUUGAAAUCCAGGUUCAGCUGGACAUUCUCCUGAGCUAAAAGCAUAUUCAUUUAGUCCCGUCAAACGGAUUAUUACUUUUGCUGCAGCUAACAUAAAGGGAGUUUGACCGUAUUGGCUGACUGAUGCAGGAUUUCACAAGGGUCGGCAACGAUUCUUGUUAAACUCGAUCUCAAAUCAAGUAAGACUACCCGCUGAACUUAAG
rnacentral:misc_RNA from 1 species